rnacentral:rRNA from 1 species
UACGAAGGGGGCUAGCGUUGCUCGGAAUCACUGGGCGUAAAGGGUGCGUAGGCGGUGAUGUAAGACCGAUGUGAAAUCCCCGGGCUUAACCUGGGAACUGCAUUGGUGACUGCAUUGCUGGAGUAUGGCAGAGGGGGGUGGAAUUCCACGUGUAGCAGUGAAAUGCGUAGAGAUGUGGAGGAACACCGAUGGCGAAGGCAGCCCCCUGGGCUGAGAUUGACGCUCAGGCACGAAAGCGUGGGGAGCAAACAGG